UGAGGGAGGAUGGGGACGGGGGGGGGUGGUGCACAGGAGCCCCCAGAGCCAGCGGCGCUGCCUGUUUGGAUGGUGGUCUUGGGAGCUCAUGAAGGCGUGGGAUUAGAUUAGAAGGUCCUGGGAUCCCAAUUUGAGGCAGAUGAAACAUUUUCAGCCCCAGGCUGCCUCUGGGGCCCACAGCGAGCUGGAACGCCCCCUUAUUCCCCAGUAGGAUUAGCAAUCUUUCCCAAGAAGAUGAUGGUGGGCAGGACGCUAUCCCUAAUAAACACCAGAAAGGGUUUGUUCAGCUUGAUGGAGAGCGGCAUCUCCAUGGGCAGCGUCUGGACUCCGGAGGCGGCCGCACCUUCUGUCCCCUUCUCAUCCAUCUUCAGCACCGCCUUGUGCACCGCCUGCAGGAAUCAGGAUCGAGUCUCACUGUGGAUUUUGGGAGAGCUGAACUUCUGUAUUCAAGACCAUGUCCCUGACAGCCCCGCAGAGAUCUUGCCUGACCUGAGGGCCUCUGAUUCUCACCCAUGCUGACCAACUUUGUGUGUGCAUCGGGCAGUCUCUCACCCUCAGACUUGGGGAAUCUAUAGAAUGUGACAAGGAGACCAAUGCAUCCACCAAAAUGAACAUCAUCAUCAUCAUCAUCAUCAUCAUCAACACAAUCACCGCGCUGGGUGUCUACUUGGACUAACAUAAAGUGCACAGCCUAUGGGUCAAUAGAAGGUAGAGUCCUGGGCACCCAGAGACAGCAUGGAGAAGGCUGCAGAGAUGCUCAAGGGGGAG